UACGUAGGGUGCGAGCGUUGUCCGGAAUUACUGGGCGUAAAGAGCUCGUAGGCGGUCUGUCGCGUCUGCUGUGAAAACUCAGGGCUUAACCCUGAGCUUGCAGUGGGUACGGGCAGACUAGAGUGCGGUAGGGGAGACUGGAAUUCCUGGUGUAGCGGUGAAAUGCGCAGAUAUCAGGAGGAACACCGGUGGCGAAGGCGGGGUCUCUGGGCCGUAACUGACGCUGGAGGAGCGAAAGCAUGGGGAGCGAACAGG
rnacentral:rRNA from 1 species